UACGGAGGGUACGAGCGUUAAUCGGAAUGACUGGGCGUAAAGCGAGCGCAGGCGGUUCGAUCAGUCGGAUGUGAAAGCCCCGGGCUUAACCUGGGAAUUGCAUUCGAUACUGUCGAACUAGAGUAUGGGAGAGGGAAGUGGAAUUUCUAGUGUAGCGGUGAAAUGCGUAGAUAUUAGAAGGAACACCAGUGGCGAAGGCGGCUUCCUGGCCCAAUACUGACGCUCAGGCUCGAAAGCGUGGGGAGCAAACAGG
rnacentral:rRNA from 1 species